GAUGAACGCUGGCGGCGUGCUUAACACAUGCAAGUCGAACGGAAAGGCUCCUGCUUGCUGGGGUACUCGAGUGGCGAACGGGUGAGUAACACGUGGGUGAUCUGCCCUGCACUUCGGGAUAAGCCUGGGAAACUGGGUCUAAUACCGGAUAGGACGAUGGUUUGGAUGCCAUUGUGGAAAGUUUUUUCGGUGUGGGAUGAGCUCGCGGCCUAUCAGCGUGUUGGUGGGGUAAUGGCCUACCAAGGCGUCGACGGGUAGCCGGCCUGAGAGGGUGUACGGCCACAUUGGGACUGAGGUACGGCCCAGACUCCUACGGGAGGCAGCAGUGGGGAAUAUUGCACAAUGGGCGCAAGCCUGAUGCAGCGACGCCGCGUGGGGGAUGACGGCCUUCGGGUUGUAAACUCCUUUCGCUAGGGACGAAGCGAAAGUGACGGUACCUGGAGAAGAAGCACCGGCUAACUACGUG
rnacentral:rRNA from 1 species